CCUACGGGUGGCAGCAGUCGAGAAUCAUUCACAAUGGGGGAAACCCUGAUGGUGCGACGCCGCGUGGGGGAAUGAAGGUCUUCGGAUUGUAAACCCCUGUCAUGUGGGAGCAAAUUAAAAAGAUAGUACCACAAGAGGAAGAGACGGUUAACUCUGUGCCAGCAGCCGCGGUAAUACAGAGGUCUCAAGCGUUGUUCGGAAUCACUGGGCGUAAAGCGUGCGUAGGCUGUUUCGUAAGUCGUGUGUGAAAGGCGCGGGCUCAACCCGCGGACGGCACAUGAUACUGCGAGACUAGAGUAAGGGAGGGGGAACCGGAAUUCUCGGUGUAGCAGUGAAAUGCGUAGAUAUCGAGAGGAACACUCGUGGCGAAGGCGGGUUCCUGGACAUUAACUGACGCUGAGGCACGAAGGCCAGGGGAGCGAAAGGGAUUAGAUACCCUUGUAGUC
rnacentral:rRNA from 1 species